GACUAUCUUAGUUUAAAAAAAACAGAAAUUUGUGAAAUUUCAAAAGAAAGUAUCAACAAUCUUUCAAAUAGUC
rnacentral:tRNA from 1 species